AAUUUGGGGAGAGAUGGAGAACAUGGAGCCUUGGGUACCUGAAGUAGAUCCUUCCUUAAGCGUCAGAUGCCUUCUGGUUCAUAGGUAAAUCAUGAAGCAAAACUUUGUUGCUUGUUCAUUUUUUUCUCGAUGAAGCAAGAUGGUCUGCAUUUGAAAAGUAGAAGAAUAUAAAAUAGGGAUGGUUAAAACAAUCGCUCAUGUUUCGAUUUGAUGGUUAAAACAAUGUUAAAAUAGGAUCGUUUUGUGCUCGCUUCGCAUAUUAAUUCUAUUAGGCUUAGCGGUAAAUGAAUGCACAAGCUCUUUAAGAGACCCAAAAGAGAAAAUCGAAAACUAUUACAUAUGUCUAUCUGUCCAAAUAACAUAAAUCGAGACUUCUAUCUUGCCAAAACUUCUUAUUAUUGUGUUCAUUUUCUUCUUAUUGUUUACAUGUCACCUCUUUGUUGGUUGUUGUUUGGUGCCAAGGCCAUUAGAAAAGAGUAAUGCCUCAAACAAGGUAGUUCUGAAGAUAGAACUCAGUGUAGCUACCAUCGAUGAUGCUUUCCAGCAAGCUCCUGGGUGACUACUCGAUGCCGACCAUUGUUGGUUUCCUUCAUGGCUAUUGUAAAAUGGUGAUUCAUAUAUCACAUGCUCUUUACUGGUAUUGGCAUGCCUGUAUCACUUCACUUUUGUUCCUUUCUUAGGGG
rnacentral:lncRNA from 1 species